CAUUGCAAACUAGUUUGCAUCUCCAUAUGGCUCAACAAUGCUUGGAUACUAUAGCAUAUUGUUACUACCUAAUAUAGUUUAACAAAACUGUCAUUUAAUGUUAUCAUCAUCGCGAUUUACAUUGUUCAACAAUAAAGCAACUUCCUGAGAAAAACUAACCAUAUCAGCAAGAAGAAACUUAUUGUUUGGACUUUAUGUCAAUUGGUAUUUUUCUAUGCGGGAGCGCUGGUCGUGGGAUCUGAAAAUGAUAAAAUUUUUCUAAACAGUGGAAUCAGAAUACCCAUACGGGAUUGUCGACACCUUCCACGGUCCAUAGUACGAAUAAUCGACGCGAUGGUCGCGCAAUGCGUCCGAUUAGUUUGCCGCCGAUGUAUCCGCGCCGUAGGAACAAAUGCAAGAAACAUCGCGUCGCAAGGAUUCGCAUGAUUGUCCGUCGCGAUCAAUUUCUUUGCCAGAACCAGCCGAGCAGAUCCAACAUCCGUGACCUACCUACCUAAACGGAGAAAGCUCCGUCGCCAAACUCACAAGUGGAGAAAUACAAAAGCAUUACGGAAUAUCGUCGUCUUUUCAUCAUGCACCAAAUAGAACCUACGAGAGGAAUGCCAAAAAGGUGCAGCUUCACUCGCACGGAGAGCAGAAAGUGACCUAAUUGAGGAAGACAUGGAAGCCCCUCCACUGGAAUGAUGCAUAUACCAUUGCGGUGGCUGGUCACUUCCCCCAAAAGUUUGACGACUAAUCCCUGUGCGUCGUGUUCGUGGGAUGAUGUACGAGUAUCACUAGGUCAGGCACAAAGUGUACCAUAUACGUAUAUGCGGCUAUCUGAGGGAUCACGAUACUCUGGACUGCAAGUGAAAGCCUUCCCACAGUCAUCAAGGAAAAUCUGGAUCUCCGAGGCAGAGAAUUUCUAUAUUUUGAAAGCGAAAUAAACAAAAUGUAAAUGUUACUACGUGCAUUAUGAAAAAUGUCAUAGAGCGCUUUCAUAAA